rnacentral:lncRNA from 1 species
CAGCUGUUCGCGUCUAUAUGGAAGGCUAAACUCGUCACUAGGGCUGGAUGAAGCUCUAACAGAGAAAUAAGGGUUUUGUAUAUUUAAUUUUCUGUUCUUGGAGUUGUAUGAAUCCUCUUACUCUUAAAUAAACAUUUUUCUUUCAUCUCAUAUUUAAUUUCUGUGAUUUUAAGUAUGAUAUUCGUACAACUGUUUUCCAUGAUC